rnacentral:rRNA from 1 species
AUUUUGCAUAUCAAUAAGCGGAGGAAAAGAAACCAACAGGGAUUGCCUCAGUAACGGCGAGUGAAGCGGCAACAGCUCAAAUUUGAAAUCUGGCCUCUUUGGGGUCCGAGUUGUAAUUUGUAGAGGAUGUUUCGGGUACCGCCUCGGUUUAAAUUUCUUGGAACAGAAUGUCAGAGAGGGUGAGAAUCCCGUCUUGGACCGGCGGUAGGGCCCAUGUGAAACUCCUUCGACGAGUCGAGUUGUUUGGGAAUGCAGCUCAAAAUGGGUGGUAAAUUUCAUCUAAAGCUAAAUAUUGGCCAGAGACCGAUAGCGCACAAGUAGAGUGAUCGAAAGAUGAAAAGAACUUUGAAAAGAGAGUUAAACAGUAUGUGAAAUUGUUGAAAGGGAAGCGCUUGCAACCAGACUUGAGCGCGGCGGUUCCCCCUUCCUUUUGGUUGGGUUACUCCGCCGUGUCCAGGCCAACAUCGGUUCUGGGGGUCGGUUAAAGGCCCGGGGAAUGUACCUACUCCUUCGGGGGUAGACUUAUAGCCCCGGGUGUCAUGCGACCACCCGGGACCGAGGAACGCGCUUCGGCUCGGAUGUUGGCGUAAUGGUUGUCAGCGACCCGUCUUGAAACACGGACCA